rnacentral:rRNA from 1 species
AGUGAACGCUGGCGGUAGGCCUAACACAUGCAAGUCGAACGGCAGCACAGUAAGAGCUUGCUCUUACGGGUGGCGAGUGGCGGACGGGUGAGGAAUACAUCGGAAUCUACUUUUUCGUGGGGGAUAACGUAGGGAAACUUACGCUAAUACCGCAUACGACCUACGGGUGAAAGCCGGGGAUCUUCGGACCUUGCGCGAUUGAAUGAGCCGAUGUCGGAUUAGCUAGUUGGCGGGGUAAAGGCCCACCAAGGCGACGCUCCGUAGCUGGUCUGAGAGGAUGAUCAGCCACACUGGAACUGAGACACGGUCCAGACUCCUACGGGAGGCAGCAGUGGGGAAUAUUGGACAAUGGGCGCAAGCCUGAUCCAGCCAUACCGCGUGGGUGAAGAAGGCCUUCGGGUUGUAAAGCCCUUUUGUUGGGAAAGAAAAGCAGCAGGUUAAUACCCCGCUGUUCUGACGGUACCCAAAGAAUAAGCACCGGCUAACUUCGUG